rnacentral:rRNA from 1 species
GUAGGGAAUAUUGGGCAAUGGAGGCAACUCUGACCCAGCCAUGCCGCGUGCAGGAAGACGGUCCUCUGGAUUGUAAACUGCUUUUGAAUGGGAAGAACACCACCCUUGCGAGGGUGAUUGACGGUACUAUUAGAAUAAGCACCGGCUAACUCCGUGCCAGCAGCCGCGGUAAUACGGAGGGUGCAAGCGUUAUCCGGAUUUAUUGGGUUUAAAGUGUGCGUAGGCGGCUUUGUAAGUCAGAGGUUCAAGGCGGCGGCUUAACUGUACGCAUGCCUUUGAAACUGCGAAGCUUGAGAUACUUGGAGGUAGCUGGAAUUCCCUGUGUAGCGGUGAAAUGCAUAGAUACGGGGAGGAAUACCGAUUGCGAAGGCAUGUUACUACGAGUAAACUGACGCUGAUGCACGAAAGCGUGGGGAUCAAACAGGAUUAGAAACCCGUGUAGUCC